GUCUAUGGCCAUGCCACCCUGAACAUGCCCGAUCCCGUCUGAUCUCGGAAGCUAAGCAGGGUCGGGCCUGGUUAGUAAUUGGAUGGGAGACCACCUAGGAAGACCAGGUGCUGUAGGCG
rnacentral:rRNA from 1 species